GGAUGUGAGGGCGAUCUGGCUGCGACAUCUGUCACCCCAUUGAUCGCCAGGGUUGAUUCGGCUGAUCUGGCUGGCUAGGCGGGUGUCCCCUUCCUCCCUCACUGCUCCAUGUGUGUCCCUCCCGAAGCUGCGCGCUCAGUCGAAGAGGACGACCAUCCCCGAUAGAGGAGGACCGGUCUUCGGUCAAGGGUAUACGAGUAGCUGCGCUCCCCUGCUAGAACCUCCAAACAAACUCUCAAGGUCCAUUAUUGAACUUACUGUUAGUUUGAGGUUUUUAUACUGGUA
ensembl:misc_RNA 7SK 7SK RNA